GUGGUCAAGCUGUACAGGUUUCUGGCCAGACCAACCAACUCCACCUUUAACUAAGUUGUGUUGAAGAGGUUGUUCAUGAGUCACACCAGCCGGCCACUUCUGUCCCUUUACCGGAUAAUCCUGAAGAUGAAGCUGCCUGGCUACAGUCUCUUACACACAUCUA